ACAAAAUCCCAAAAAUCUCAUAGUCCACAAAUAAAAUCACAAAGAUUCCAAAGUCCACAAAUAAAAUCCCAAAAAUCGCAAAGCCACAAAUAAAAAUCCCAAGAAUCCAAAAUCCCACAAAUAAAAUCACAAAAAUCCAAAGCCCACAAACAAAAUCCCAAAAAUCCAAAAUCCACAAAUAAAGAUCCAAAAUCCAGAGAUCCAAAAUCCAAAGUCCAUAAAUAAAACCCAAUCAAAUCUACCAAACCUAUGUUAUCUAAAUACCUCCAACCCAAGUCGAAUUCAUGGGCUUUCCAAAUGGGGCCUUUAUUAUGAAUUAAUUCUAUGAAUUAGGUUCCUGGGUUUUCCAAAGGCCCCUCUAUCAUGAAUUAAUUCGACAAAUUAAUUUUAUUGGUUUGCCAAAUAGGCCCUUUAUCACAGAUUAAUUCUAUGAAUUAAUUUCAUGGGCCCUCCUUGUCAUAGAUUAAUUUCAUGAAUUAAUGGGCCCUCCAAAUGACUCCUUAUCAUAAAUUAAUUCAAUGGGCUCUCCAAAUGGCCCCUAUCAUGAAUUAAUUUCAUCAAUUAAUUCAAUGGACGUUACAAACGGGCUCCUAGCAUGAAUUAAUUUCAUGAAUCAGCUUCAUGAACAUCUCGAUUUCAAACGACGAAACGUCGCUAAACUAAACCCAAAUUUCAAACGACCGAAACGUCGCUAAACUAAACCCAAAUUUCAAACGACCGUAACGUCGCUAAACUAAACCCAAAUUUCAAACGACCGAAACGUCGCUAAACUAAACCCAAAUUUCAAACGUCCGAAACGUCGAUAAACUAAACCCAAAUUUCAAACGACCGAAACGUCGAUAAACUAAACCCAAAUUUCAAACGACCGAAAAGUCGUUAAACUAAAUCCAAAUUUCAAACGACCGAAAAGUCGUUAAACUAAACCCAAAUNNN
rnacentral:lncRNA from 1 species